ensembl:lncRNA
CUCAUUGCCACCAAUCAACCUGGAAAAUGUUAUAGAACCAUCAAAGCUCUUAAAUUAAACUAAAUAAGGCCAUACACUACUGCAUAGAGCCUUUUUAAAUGAUUAUUUUUUCACUAUUAAGCUGUAUCGCCACGCCUUCAUGGUGGCAAAGCGGUCAAUAACGUGGCUUUGACUCACUUUGCAUAGUUGCUCCUUUUCAAUGGACAAAAGAGAAAGUUGGUGAAGCCUUCCUUGCCCCAUGGUUGACCUAAGCCAGGUGUGGAGCCUUCUCGACACACUGAAAGAUCGCUCACAACUACAACUGUUUACAGGAAUUCUCCCGUGGUUUCCAACGAAACAUGAUCAACAAAAAAAGAGGAAUUGAAAGCUACUUACAUUUCCCCUGAUGGCAGCAAUGUUCCACUUUCAGCUGGAAUUCACGGUACAUCAAAACCACCUGUCUUCUUUAGAUUUCAGUUCCCUUUAUUUAUUCUCACAGUUCAGCAGCGGCAUUUAUUCAGAAUCAGAGCCCAAAUUAAAGCUGCAUUUAGGGCGACUAUCACUACCCAGCAGAAAAAUAGAUGCACUAUAAAUGGUUUUGUAUAGCAGUCACGAACAUGAGCAUAGUUGUGGAAAUGCUGGUGUUAGAAAACAAAGUUGACGGGAAUUAAAGUGCUGCACAUCGACUGUACAAAUGUAGAUUAUUCAUCACAAGAAUUUUAAUUCAGAAAUCGAAUAGGCUAAUAAACUCUGAAUUGUGAGAUAAAAUUCAGCAUUCUGAUAAUAAAGUCAGAAUACUUGGAUAAAAUCCGAAUUCUGAUAAUUAAAUCCAGCAUUAAAGGUUCAUUUAAGAAGGUUCUCACCAGUCAUUUGUCGCCUGGUCGCAGUGUCAAGUUUUUUUUAAAGUAGUUCACUAGUCGUAGCGUGCAAAUAAAUUGCAGUGUCAGAAUUCUGAGAAUUUUGUCAGCAUUCAGAUUUCCCAGAAUUCUCUUACACUGCAAAUUAAAGCGCUACUACUAGCAAACUAGUUUCAGCGUGACUGGAGAGAACUUCCUUAAAUUAACCUUUAAUGCUAGAUUUGCAUCAACGCUAUUGUGUGAAUUAGUAUGGUUCUCUUUCAUGGAAGCCGGAAGUGGGAGAUUCCUUAUUUUUUUUACCAUUAUUGUUUUAUUAACAAAUUUCUCCUACAGGGGAUUGAUAAAGUUCUAUCUAGACUAUUGAACAGAAAGAAACACUUGGUCAUACUUUACACACUUUCAGAAGAGUCACGUGGACGAAUCCGUAAAUAACUGAUUUUUUUCAUUGGUUGUUGCGUUAAAUCUUACCCAGAUACAAUAGGGCUAUUUUCUGAUUGGCUUUUAUGUAGCACCUUUCGUUUUUUGAUUGGCUGGUAAGAGGCAGGCUCGACUGAAGACUCCCGAGGCAGCAGGAGAUGCACUUGAUGAAUCCUGCCGAUUCCAUAGCGAGAGCGGCGCUUCUGCAGAUGAAUUUAAUAAUGAUCAAUGGAAUUUUACUGGGGCACUGGAGACUUUUACUGGGGCACGUGCCCCAGUAAAAAGGGGCUGACGACGCCUCUGGUUUGGUCUGACCACAUGCCAGCACCCUAAGGCCCCAUUUACACGAGGACGCUCGCAGGGGAAAAAAUACCAAAUAUUUUAUCGGAAGUGCCUUUCGUUUAGACGGUGACAGCGUUUUUGGGGCU